rnacentral:rRNA from 1 species
UACGGAGGGUGCAAGCGUUAUCCGGAUUCACUGGGUUUAAAGGGUGCGUAGGUGGGCAGGAAAGUCAGUGGUGAAAUCUCCGGGCUUAACCCGGAAACUGUCGUUGAUACUAUUUGUCUUGAAUAUUGUGGAGGUAAGCGGAAUAUGUCAUGUAGCGGUGAAAUGCUUAGAUAUGACAUAGAACACCAAUUGCGAAGGCAGCUUACUACACAAUGAUUGACGCUGAGGCACGAAAGCGUGGGGAUCAAACAGG